GAUGAACGCUGGCGGCGUGCCUAAUACAUGCAAGUCGAGCGAACAGACGAGGAUCUUGCUCCUCUCACGUUAGCCGCGGGCGUGUGAGUAACGCGUGUAUAACCUACCUAUAAGACUGGUAUAACUUCGGGAAUCCGGCUCUAAUACCGUAUAAUAUAUUGAACCGCGUUGUUCAAUAGUGAAAUUCGGUUUUGCUGUCUCUUAUCGAUGCAUCCCCGCGGCAUUAGCUAGUUGGUGAGGUAACGGCUUACCAAGGCGACGAGGCGUAGACGAAGUGAGGGGGUGAUAGGCCACACUGGAGCGGAGACGCGGUCAAGAGUCCUACGGGAGGCAGCAGUAGGGAAUCUUCGGCAAUGGGCGAAAGCAUGACGGAGCAAGGCCGAGUCAGUGAUGACGGUCUUCGGAUCGUAAAAAUCGGCUAUUAGGGAAGAACAAAUGUGUCAGUAACUAUGCACGGCUUGACGGUACCUAAUAAGAAAGCCACGGCUAACUACGUG
rnacentral:rRNA from 1 species